rnacentral:siRNA from 1 species
AUAAGUUACUACGUCUGGCAG